rnacentral:lncRNA from 1 species
GUAGAAAAACCUACACCUCUUGGCCAUAUCUUUCCUUUUACUUGGUUUGUUAAGACGUAGCUCGAUAGCAGACGGCUUAGGCCCACGAGUCCAUUCUUGAAACUGAUCCUCAAUAAACUCAAGUUUAGGGAUUUUGAUCCAAUGGUACCUCCAUUCCUUAGAGAGGAUGCUUGUUCUUGCUGCCUCUUGAAUCGGAAGCUUGCUGAUUCUAUCCAUCUUAGGAUACCCUUGUUAGCUGCAAAAUAAGCUAGCUACUAUGGGAAUAUGUUUAGUCUACACAUAAAACAACAACAACAACAACAAAACCGAGUAACAUAAACAAAAAAACCGAUGAAAAUGAAAGGGAUUGACCCAAUUAGGGUUGGAACAGAACCAAUUAGGUUAGUGACUUUAACAGCGAAAAAUCAUUGC